CCAAAAUGCAGCCCAGCAAGAUAAACAGUGAUAAUGUAAAGCAAGUGGCUGAGAGACAUGGAGAGUAGAAUGAAGAGAUCCAACGUAAAGUGACGGAGUUCCAGGUGGGAAAAAAAAAAAAUGAAAAUGAGGCAGAAGCAAUAUUUAAAAACUGGCUGAGAACUUUCCAGAAAAAAUCACCAAUUCACAGAUUCAAGAAGACCAGUAAGUCUCAGGCAGGUUAAUAGGAAGAACUAUACAUCCAAAUGUUCUGUUUCUUCAUCUGGGUGAUGAUUAGGUAUUUUUACUUUAUGAAUAUUCAUUGAACUGUAUACAUGUUUUAUGCCCUUUUUGUAUGUUUAUUCUAAGUAAGCAAAUUUACUUAAAAAAAUUCUACACUUUUUAUUAAUCAUCAGUUGCUACACAUAAAUUACCCAAAACUCGGGGGCUUAAAAUAACAAACACUUAUUACCUCAGUUUCUGUGGGCCAGGAAUCAGGAGUGGCUUAGCUGGGUAAGUCUAGCUUGGGGUCAGUUGUGAAGCUGCACUCAUCUGAAGGCUGGACUGGGGCUGGAGGAUCUGUUUCCAAGAUGACUCAUGGGGCUGUUGAUUGGUGGCCCCUGUGUCUUGCCACAUGGACCUCUCCAUCGGCCUGUGUGUUCUCAAGACAUGGCAGGUGGCUUUCCCAGAGUGGCAGUCUAAGAAAGAAGGCAGGAGGGAGCGUUGUGGGGCUUUCUUAUGAUCUGGGCUUGGAAGUGAUAUUCUGCUACAUUCUGUUUGUUAGAAGCAAGUCACUACGCCCAGUCGACACUUAGAAGAAUUAGCUUCCACUUCCUGAAGGGAGGACUGUGUAAGAAUUUGUGGACUUAUUUAAAAACUACCACAUACCUAAUCACAUUGUAAUAACAUUAAAGAGCACAAAGACCAAGAAAAUACCUUAAAAUCAGAGAGAAAGGACAUACUACCUUUUGAGGAGCAACAUAGCAGCAGAUAUCUCAGCUAUAACCAGUGUAAACAGGAAUGAAAGAAAGUUGUCAUCCUAGAAUUGCAUACUCAGGGAAAAUAUGAGACGUGUUUUUUGUUUUUUUGCAGAGAUGGGGUCUCACUAUUUUGCCCAGGCUGAUCUUGAACUCCUGAACUCAAGUGAUCUGCCCACCUUGGCCUCCCAAAGUGCUGGGAUUACAGGCCUGAGCCACCGCACCUGGCCUAAGAUGUUUUUAGACCAACGAAGUCAGGGAUUCUGUCACCAGCAGACUCUCACUAAAUGAAAAUCUAUUUUGGGGUAAUGAAAAUGUUCUAAAAGUGAUUGUGGUUGCACAAAUCUGUGAAUAUGCUGAAUAUGCCAAGAGCCAUUGAAUUGUACACUUUAAUGGGUGGGCUGUAUAUGUAUAAAGUUGUUUUUUAAAAAUGAAAUAAGCAUUCUCCUUUUAAAAAAAUCAUAAAGGAUAUUUUCAGACUGAGGGGCACAAUCCCAGAUGGAAAGUCCAGAGAAAGGAAGUAUAAAUGUAAAUAAGCACUGACCUUGUAAAACAAAAAUGUGUUGUGGGGUAAAGCAGGGGCUAUUUAGAAUACAUAACAACAAUGGUAUGUAAGUUCAGAGGUAG
rnacentral:lncRNA from 1 species